rnacentral:rRNA from 1 species
UACGUGAAACCGUUGAAAGGGAAGCGAAUGGAGUUAGCAAUUCGCCCUGCCAGAUUCAGUUGUUCGCGCGUCGCGACGAGCGCGCUCUCGAUCCGCAUGGACGAGACGCGCCCGGGCGCGACGUGCGGGCGGCGCACUUCCGGCGGGCGAGCGUCAGCGUCGGUCGCCGACGAGCGACAAGGCCGCGAGCAAGGUAGACGUGCCCGCUCGGGCGCGUCGUUAAGGCUCGCGUGCGCAUAGCGCGACGGCGACCGUGGCUUGCAUUCUCUCGACGACGCGUGCCUGGCUGGCGACUCGUGCGAUCGGUCCGGCAUGUCGACCGUGGSGGACGGCACGCCUGUGCGCUCGAACCGCUGCCGGUCGCUUGCACGAUGCUCGCACACKACGCGUCGAAGAUGCUGACGACCAUACGGCUCCAUCCGACCCGUCUUGAAACACGGACCAAGGAGUCUAA